rnacentral:lncRNA from 1 species
GUGUAUACGAGUGUUGGUGAGGAGAUUUUACUACUAAUCAUGUUUGUUCAUUGUGUAGGUACAAAGGUGAUAUAAGGGGAACAUGUCUUCGAUAGACGGGGAUUAUUGUGACUACAACAUGGGAGACUAUGAUUGUAGUGAGGGGUUUUAUGGCUACGAAGUUGAGGGAGAUUGUGGAGGCUAUGAAAAUAGCCAUGAUCAAAACUUGGGC